GCUUCCUUGGCUCAGUUGGUAGAGCGUUGGUCUCAUACUUCUGUAUGAGUGACAGAUUCUGUUACCCAAUCCAAAGGUCGUGAGUUCGAGCCUCACAGGGAGCA